rnacentral:snoRNA from 1 species
UCCUGUAUCGAAAGUGACUGUGGUAUGAUUGUUGCCAGGUCAUUGAUAAUGCAGGAAGAGUGAAUUGAAAGUCUUUCCCGUGUUUGCUGGGAGCUACGUCCCUGUCAAACCCUGUAUCUGUCAAACA